CCUACGGGAGGCUGCAGUGGGGAAUAUUGGACAAUGGGCGAAAGCCUGAUCCAGCCAUGCCGCGUGUGUGAAGAAGGCCUUCGGGUUGUAAAGCACUUUCAGUGGGGAAGAAAGCCUUGGGGCUAAUACCCUCGAGGAAGGACAUCACCCACAGAAGAAGCACCGGCUAACUCCGUGCCAGCAGCCGCGGUAAUACGGAGGGUGCGAGCGUUAAUCGGAAUUACUGGGCGUAAAGCGCGCGUAGGCGGUCUGAUAAGCCGGUUGUGAAAGCCCCGGGCUCAACCUGGGAACGGCAUCCGGAACUGUCAGGCUAGAGUGCAGGAGAGGAAGGUAGAAUUCCCGGUGUAGCGGUGAAAUGCGUAGAGAUCGGGAGGAAUACCAGUGGCGAAGGCGGCCUUCUGGACUGACACUGACGCUGAGGUGCGAAAGCGUGGGUAGCAAACAGGAUUAGAUACCCCAGUAUUC
rnacentral:rRNA from 1 species